GAUGAACGCUGGCGGCGUGCUUAACACAUGCAAGUCGAACGGUGAAGGCGGAGCUUGCUCUGCUGGAUCAGUGGCGAACGGGUGAGUAACACGUGAGCAAUCUGCCCCUGACUCUGGGAUAAGCGCUGGAAACGGCGUCUAAUACUGGAUACGAGCUGCGAAGGCAUCUUCAGCAGCUGGAAAGAACUUCGGUCAGGGAUGAGCUCGCGGCCUAUCAGCUUGUUGGUGAGGUAACGGCUCACCAAGGCGUCGACGGGUAGCCGGCCUGAGAGGGUGACCGGCCACACUGGGACUGAGACACGGCCCAGACUCCUACGGGAGGCAGCAGUGGGGAAUAUUGCACAAUGGACGAAAGCCUGAUGCAGCAACGCCGCGUGAGGGACGACGGCCUUCGGGUUGUAAACCUCUUUUAGCAGGGAAGAAGCGAAAGUGACGGUACCUGCAGAAAAAGCGCCGGCUAACUACGUG
rnacentral:rRNA from 1 species